rnacentral:lncRNA from 1 species
CAUGACUAUAGGACCGAGAGGAGACUGAGAAACACAGGAAGCACCAGAGUGGUUGAAAGGAGCUGAAGGCUCAGACAGCAACCUGGACACUAAGGGUCCAAAGCCAAGCCCAAGGUCAAGUAGCUGGACAGAGAAACAGCUGCAAGCACAGACUUGGAUCCUGACCUGAUUUUCUGCAGAAGCAAGUCCCUGUUUAGCCUUCUACUGCCUCCUUUUAGAAUGAAGCCAGACCAGUACUUUCCAUCAUGGGCUCCUGUGGAAAAUGACCCCAGCUCAGCUCAGUAGUUGAUGGGACAUCUGAUUCAGGUUGGGCCCAGCCCAGACAUCUGAUUCAAACAAUAUUCUUCUCCAGGAAUUUUGUAACCAGCACUGGUAAAGGGAGGGAACUGCUCCCCAGUGGGGAGAGCUGCAGAAUGUGAGACUUGGAAACCAAAGGCCGCCAUGUUUUCUGUCUCAUGAUGGAACCCAAUCUUCUUUGGCGGGGAAAAUAAAUCAAGCCAACACCAGACAACAUAUAUCAAGUAGGGGCCAUUGCUCCAGCCUGACUCCAGGAAUCAGCAGACAGCGCAGCCUCAUUGUCCACCUGCUCCCUGCAGUACAGGCUCAGAAUCACACAGUUGCAGCCAACCAGCUCCUGACAUGGAACUUGAGCAACAAAUGCCCUUUGUUUUUGCAAGUCCCUGAGAUUUGAAAGUUGUUACACAGCAUUCUCUCAGUCAGAAGUGACUGACCUGGUCAGUGAGAGGCUGACCCAAGGACAAAAGUUUUUUUUUAUUUUUUUAAAAAACAACAUGAUCGCACAAAAUUUUCAGUUCGAACAACAAAAUCAGUGGUUGUAAUUUACCAUUUUCAAGGUCACCUAUAGAAGGCUGCAAUAUCUAAAGCCACUCAGGAAAACAUGAGAACCAGCUGGAAAGGCAUUUUCCCAUGUUCCCACUAUUUUGCUAUGAUAAAUACUGUAUUUGAUUACCUUCUGUUGAAGUUUAUAAAAAGAGAUCAUUCUUUAAUGCUGAGGCCAUUUGUGGAGAGUGAUCCAGUUGGAACCAGUGAUUUCGAGAAUUCCAGACAUGAGAGACUGGAAAGCAAAUCAGAAAAAAGACAAGUGACGAAGUUUUACAGUCAGGAAACAAAAUUCUGAUCUUUUGUUCUUGUUUACUUUCUAUGGCAAUGAAGCAGAAUGCAAAAAUCGGA